CAGCAGCCGCGGUAAUACGAAGGGGGCUAGCGUUGCUCGGAAUUACUGGGCGUAAAGGGCGCGUAGGCGGACAGUUAAGUUGGGGGUGAAAGCCCGGGGCUCAACCUCGGAAUUGCCUUCAAUACUGGCUGUCUUGAGUACGGGAGAGGUGAGUGGAACUCCGAGUGUAGAGGUGAAAUUCGUAGAUAUUCGGAAGAACACCAGUGGCGAAGGCGACUCACUGGCCCGUUACUGACGCUGAGGCGCGAAAGCGUGGGGAGCAAACAGGAUUAGAUACCCUGGUAGUCCACGCCGUAAACGAUGAGUGCUAGUUGUCGGCAUGCAUGCAUGUCGGUGACGCAGCUAACGCAUUAAGCACUCCGCCUGGGGAGUACGGUCGCAAGAUUAAAACUCAAAGGAAUUGACGG
rnacentral:rRNA from 1 species